UACGUAGGGGGCGAGCGUUGUCCGGAUUUAUUGGGCGUAAAGAGCGUGUAGGCGGCCAGACAGGUCCGUUGUGAAAACUGGAGGCUUAACCUUCAGACGUCGAUGGAAACCGUCUGGCUAGAGUCCGGAAGAGGAGAGUGGAAUUCCUGGUGUAGCGGUGAAAUGCGCAGAUAUCAGGAAGAACACCCGUGGCUAAGGCGGCUCACUGGGACGGUAUUGACGCUGAGACGCGAAAGCGUGGGGAGCAAACAGG
rnacentral:rRNA from 1 species